UACGUAGGUGGCAAGCGUUGUCCGGAUUUAUUGGGUUUAAAGGGUGCGUAGGCGGCCUUGUAAGUCAGUGGUGAAAUACUCCAGCUUAACUGGAGGGGUGCCAAUGAUACUGCAGGGCUUGAGUACAGAUGAGGUAGGCGGAAUUGACGGUGUAGCGGUGAAAUGCAUAGAUAUCGUCAAGAACACCGAUAGCGAAGGCAGCUUACCAAGCAGUAACUGACGCUGAGGCACGAAAGUGCGGGGAUCAAACAGG
rnacentral:rRNA from 1 species